CAGCAGCCACGGGAAUACGGAGGGUGCAAGCGUUAAUCGGAAUUACUGGGCGUAAAGCGCACGCAGGCGGUCUGUCAAGUCAGAUGUGAAAUCCCCGGGCUUAACCUGGGAACUGCAUUUGAAACUGGCAGGCUAGAGUCUUGUAGAGGGGGGUAGAAUUCCAGGUGUAGCGGUGAAAUGCGUAGAGAUCUGGAGGAAUACCGGUGGCGAAGGCGGCCCCCUGGACAAAGACUGACGCUCAGGUGCGAAAGCGUGGGGAGCAAACAGGAUUAGAUACCCGAGUAGUUCCUGUCUCUUAUAA
rnacentral:rRNA from 1 species